UCCUUCGUGGUGUAGUGGUCAGCACGUUUGACCCGUCUUCGAGAGGUCCGUGGUUCGAGUCCCGGCAAGGGCA
rnacentral:tRNA from 1 species